UACAGAGGGUGCAAGCGUUGUUCGGAUUCAUUGGGCGUAAAGGGUGCGUAGGUGGCGCGGUAAGUCGGGUGUGAAAUCUCGGGGCUUAACUCCGAAAUUGCAUUCGAUACUGCCGUGCUCGAGGACUGGAGAGGAGACUGGAAUUCAUGGUGUAGCAGUGAAAUGCGUAGAGAUCAUGAGGAAGACCAGUGGCGAAGGCGGGUCUCUGGACAGUUCCUGACACUGAGGCACGAAGGCCAGGGGAGCAAACAGG
rnacentral:rRNA from 1 species